AUGGCCCGUGUUGUUGUUCCGUUGAAUUUUAAUGCGUUUCUUGAGAAAGCAAAGUUGAAAGAUGAUGGUAGCAAUUACACGAUCUGGGUCCGUAACUUGAGGAUUAUCCUCAUUGCUGGAGCAACACCAGAUGUUAUAAACGUCUGGCAGAGCAAAGCUGAUGACUACUCGAUAGUUCAGUGUGCCAUGCUUUACGGCUUAGAAUCGGGACUUCAACGACGUUUUGAACGUCAUGGAGCAUAUGAGAUGUUCCAGGAGUUGAAGUUAAUAUUUCAAGCAAAUGCCCGGAUUGAGAGAUAUGAAGUCUCCAAUAAGUUCUAUAGCUGUAAGAUGGAGGAGAACAGUUCUGUCAGUGAGCAUAUACUCAAAAUGUCUGGGUAUAAUAAUCACUUGAUUCAAUUGGGAGUUAAUCUUCCAGAUGAUUGCGUCAUUGACAGAAUUCUCCAAUCACUACCACCAAGCUACAAGAGCUUCGUGAUGAACUAUAGUAUGCAAGGGAUGAAUAAGACUAUUCCCGAGCUCUUCGCAAUGCUGAAAGUUGCGGAGGUAGAAAUCAAGAAGGAGCAUCAAGUGUUGAUGGUCAACAAGACCACUAGUUUCAAGAAAAAGGGCAAAGGGAAGAAGAAGGGGAACUUCAAAAAGAACAGUAAGCAAGUUGCUACUCAAGAGAAGAAACCCAAACCUGGACCUAAGCCUGAAACUGAGUGCUUCUACUGCAAGGAGACUGGUCACUGGAAGCGGAACUGCCUCAAGUAUUUGGCGGAUAAGAAGGAUGGCAAGGUGAACAAAGGUAUAUGUGAUAUACAUGUUAUUGAUGCGUACCUUACUAAUGCUCGCAGUAGCACCUGGGUAUUUGAUACUGGUUCUAUUGCUAAUAUUUGCAACUCGAAACAGGGACUACAGAUUAAGCGAAGAUUGGCUAAGGACGAGGUGACGAUGCGCGUGGGAAAUGGUUCCAAAGUCGAUGUGAUCGCAGUCGGCACGCUACCUCUACAUCUACCUUCGGGAUUAAUAUUAGACCUAAAUAAUUGUUAUUUGGUGCCAGCGUUAAGCAUGAACAUUUUAUCUGGAUCUUGUUUG
rnacentral:rRNA from 1 species